rnacentral:lncRNA from 1 species
CAGCUGCGUAGAAGUGCCAUCUGUUUUCACUUUGCUGUAGACUAAUUAUACUGGACUCUCUUCUGGACCUCCUUCUCAACUGUAGACAUCCUAACACGUGGACUGCUUCUGAAUCCUUCCACGAGGGAAACAACGUCCAGGCUGAUCAAUUUGGAGAAUCAUUUUCAUCUUUGUGUCCUUAGUACCUACCAUGGUUCUUCGCACCUAAUGGAAUUUCAGUCCUGUGCCAUGGAAGCCUUGAAUUCCAGUGCCCGUUACUUCUUCUGCUGCCAGUGGCUCCCAUUUGUGUUCUCUCCUGUGGCAUCGGAUUCGAUGCAGAAAUGGGAUACCUGUGUACUCAUCAGCUCCUAUUCCUCCAGCUCAACCAAAGUUCUUUUAACAGUAAAAACCAAUAUGCAAAGAAGAGGAGGAAGAGAUGGAACCAUCAAGCCCUUCUGGGCUCAGAAUAUGUGUGUGUGAGCGCACAUACACAGGUGCAUGCAGCUUUGCAAUAUAAGAUUAAACUGUACAAUGUUCUAUAAUCUCCAUUUUUCCAUUCACUAUAUUAUGAACAUCUUCCAAAUCACCAUAUAGUUUUGUAUAACACACAUUUUGAUGACUGAACAGUAAUGUAUUCUCCACAAUUUGUAUUACCAAAUCUUUACUGAUGGACACAAGUUAUUUAGAGUUUUGAUCAUUAAAAACAUAGCUUUAAUAAACAUUCAUAUAUCUUUGCACCCUUUUCUAAUUAUUCCUUAGGACAGGUUUCUAGAAGGCUAUUUCUGUCACAAAUAUGUUCAUUUUAUAGAUUUUAAAGUAAAUUUCAGAAACACAAGGACAUGAACAGACAUUUCUCAAAAGAAUAAAAACAAGUGGCCAAGAAAUACAUGAAAAAAUGCUCAGCAUUACUAAUCACCAGAUAAGUGCAAAUUUAAACCAUAGUGAGACACCAUGUUACACCAGUCAGAAUAACUAUUAUUAAAAAGUGAAAAGACAACAGGUGUUGGUGAGGAUGCAGAGAAAAGGGAACACUUAUACACUGUUAGUAGGAAUGUAAAUUAGUUCAACCUCUAUGGAAAACAGCACGGAGAUUUCUCAAAGAAAUAAAAAUAGAACUGCCAUUCAACCGAGCAAUCCCAUUACUGGUUAUCUACCCAAAGAAAAAG